rnacentral:rRNA from 1 species
UACGAAGGGGGCUAGCGUUGCUCGGAAUCACUGGGCGUAAAGCGCACGUAGGCGGUCUUUUAAGUCAGGGGUGAAAUCCUGGAGCUCAACUCCAGAACUGCCUUUGAUACUGGGAGACUUGAGUCCGGGAGAGGUGAGUGGAACUGCGAGUGUAGAGGUGAAAUUCGUAGAUAUUCGCAAGAACACCAGGGGCGAAGGCGGCUCACUGGCCCGGUACUGACGCUGAGGUGCGAAAGCGUGGGGAGCAAACAGG